CGCAGAACACCUAUCCGUGUUGCAACUCGAUAAAAAGUUAGUGGCAUUGAUGUUAAUAAAAGUUAAACUUUUGCUAGAGCUACAGUGGUUCAUUACCCUACAAACCAAUUCACUAACAAAAUUUGGGUUAUUAAAAAUUCCAUUGAUCCUUCCCUACCCCUUGCUGGUAGUAGCAGAGCUUAUUCAUGCCGGUAGCCAGGCCGGAUGAUGCCGGAUGCCUCGUAGGAGAAGCCACAACGUAUAUUAAAAAAAUUUGUAUGUGUUAUAUAUAAUAUAUGAGUAAAUUAAAACAAUGGUCUGUUU